UACAGAGGUCCCAAGCGUUGUUCGGAUUCACUGGGCGUAAAGGGUGCGUAGGUGGUGAGGUAAGUCGGAUGUGAAAUCUCCAAGCUCAACUUGGAAACUGCAUUGGAAACUACCUUGCUAGAGGAUUUGAGGGGGGAUUGGAAUACUUGGUGUAGCAGUGAAAAUGCGUAGAUAUCAAGUGGAACACCAGUGGCGAAAAGCGGCACCCCUGGCAUUUUGCCUGACGCUCAUGUGCGAAAAGCGUGGGGGGAGCGAAACGGGGAUUAGAAAACCCCCAGU
rnacentral:rRNA from 1 species